rnacentral:rRNA from 1 species
GACGAACGCUGGCGGCGUGCUUAACACAUGCAAGUCGAACGAAGUGGCGAACGGGUGAGUAACGCGUAAUCAACCUGCCCUUCAGAGGGGGACAACAGUUGGAAACGACUGCUAAUACCGCAUACUGAAGGAGGGGAUUGCGUCUGAUUCGCGAGUUGGAGGGGUAACGGCCCAGCCAGGCGAUGAUCAGUCGCCGGCCUGAAAGGGUAAACGGCAACAUUGGGACUGGGAUACGGCCCAGACUCCUACGGGGGGGAGCAGUGGGGGAUAUUGCACAAAGGGCGAAAGCCUGAUGCAGCGACGCCGCGGGGGGGAUGAGGGCUUUCGGGUUGUAAACCUCUUUCGCUAUCGAACGGGUAGGUGGAGAAGAAGCGCCGGCUAACUACGUGCCAGCAGCCGCGGUAAUAC